UUUUGUAACAAGAGGAACUUUGUAUUAAAGAUGAACUAGUUGCAGGUCACAAGAGGGACCUGUUCCUCUUCUUCUGGGAAUAACAAGAAGCAAAACAAAGGAAAAAGGAAGAAAAGGGAGGUUCUAGAUCUAUUCUAAGCAACUAAAAGAAAAGCAAGUUCAUCCAUGCCUUCUUUAGUGAAAUCUGCCACUACUUAUACUACUCUAGUAGCUAUUACUCAUGCUCUUUUGCUAUCAGAGUCUGUUUCCCUUUUGCAUCUGGGACCACGUAGUGGUCCAGGUAUUGUGGCACUCGUUUGUACCUGGUACUACGCCUGUUGUUGUCCAACUUGUCCUGCGGAGUCAUUACAUUGCCGCCCUCAUGGAGAAGAACCUUGUCCUCAAGGUUCAAGUGAGGAAACUGCUGCAAGAGGGUAUAUGAGUCCUCCCAAGUUGCAUCUUCAAUAGGCAAACCUACCCAUUUGACAAAGCAUUGAGGCACCUUAUGUGCCCCUUUGGUAACAUCUCUCGUCUUUAAAACAGCUUCAGGUGUAAGUGUGACAGAGGGAGUUUGGUCCAACAAUUCAAUAGGUGUAAUCUGAUUAGUUGGUUUGCCGAUACACUUACGUAACACUGAAACAUGGAACACAGGAUGGAUUCGAGAAGAAGGUGGCAGAUCGAGUUUAUAAGCCACAUCACCAAUGCGUUGAAUGAUCUGAAAGGGUCCAAAGAAACGCCUGCUCAAUUUGGAAUGGCGUUGCAGACGAACUGAAAGUUGUCUAUAUGGUCGAAGACGGACAUACACCCAAUCACCAAUAUCAAAGAUCACCUCCCUACGACCUUUGUCAGCUUGAAACUUCAUCCUAUCUUGAGCCUGCAGUAAAUUAGACUUCAACACAGCCAAUGUUUCAUCGCGUUGUCGCAAAGAACCCGAAACUGUAGGAUUGGAAGUGCUGUCUAACACAAAACGAGAGACAAUAGGAGGAGGCCGGCCAUAGACUGCCUCAAAAGGAGUCAUCUUGGAGCUGUGUUGGUAUGAAGUAUUGUACCAAAAUUCUGCCCAGGGAAGAAGAGGGACCCAUGUAGAAGGAGUAUCUGUAGCAAAACAACGGAGAUACAUUUCAAGGCAUUUGUUCAGUGACUCUGUUUGGCCAUCCGUUUGUGGAUGAUAAGCAGAACUCUUGGCCAAAUGAGUUCCCUGGAGUUUGUUAAUUUCCGUCCAAAAUUCAGAGAUGAAAAUGGGAUCGCGGUCAGAUACGAUUUUGGUAGGAAAACCAUGUAACCGGACAAAUUCUUGGACAAAGACUUCUGCUACUUUUUGACUGGUAAAAUUUGCAGAUAGAGCAAUAAAAUGUCCAUACUUCGACAAUCUAUCUACAAUCACCAAGAUCACAGUGCGCCCCUGAGAUGAUGGAAGGCCUGUAAUAAAGUCCAUGGAAAUUUCAGCAAAAAUCUCAGAAGGAAUCGGCAAGGGAGACAGUAAUCCCGCAGGUUUCAGUUGUGAAUCCUUCAUCUGCUGACAAAUUUGACAUUCAGAGACGAACUUCUUGACAUCAGAUCGCAUGCCAACCCAAUAAAAAUUUGAAGACAGUCGGUGAAAUGUGCGAGCGACGCCUGCAUGACCUCCAAUUUUGGAAGCAUGAAAUUCUUCCAAUAGCAUUAGACGCAAAGAUGCAUCCUUGGGAAUAACCAGGCGAUUCUUGAAUAACAGGAGACCUUCCUGAAAGGAGAAUGAGGACAUAAAAUCUGGAGUAUUCAACAAUUUCUGUUGGAGAGCUAAUAAUUCCUCAUUGGAUUUGUUCAACGCCUUAAGCUUGUCAACCAAAGCUAUUUCAGUGAUGGCCAAAGAUAACGCAAAACAGGCAGGGACGCGAGAUAAAGCAUCGGCAGCAGAAUUUAAUUUGCCUGGGCUAAAGCGUAUCUCAAAAUCAUACCCAAUUAAUUUGCUAAGCCAACGUUGUUGUUCAGGGGUCUGGAUAACCUAACUUGUGUUGCUAAGCCAACGUUGUUGUUCAGGGGUCUGGAUAACCUGACUUGUAAGGGCUUUCAAAGGUUGCUGAUCAGUUAAAAUGGUAAAACGACGGCCCAAUAAGUAUUGGCGCCACUUUUGAACAGCCUGCGUGAUGGCAAACAUUUCACGAUUGUAAGUAGAAGCAGCUUGCAUCCUUGAAGAUAAUUUUUGGCUGAAGAAUGCGAUUGGGUGACUGUCUUGGCAAAGAACCGCACCAAUGCCAGUACCUGAUGCAUCUGUUUCUACCACAAAAUCCUUGGAAAAAUCAGGCAAGAAUAAAACAGGGACGGAGCCAAGAGCCUCUUUCAAUUUGGCAAAAGCAACAGAAGCCUUAUCGGACCAUACAAAUGAGUCCUUUUUCAGAAGAUCAGUGAGGGGUGAAGCUAACUGGGCAUAUCCUUUGACAAAACGACGAUAGUACCCCGUUAAACCCAAAAAGGCACGGACAUCCUUUACAGAUGAAGGCAAAGGCCAAGAAACGAUAGCAGUAAUCUUCUCAGGGUCAACUUGUAAGCCUUUUUCAGAGAGAAUAUGACCCAAGUAAGAAAUGGAAGACUGCCCAAAUUGGCAUUUUGAUUGCUUCACCACCAAAGAAUUUUGUCGGAGAAGAUCAAAGAUUGAUCUAAGGUGUUGUAAGUGAUCUUGCCAAGACGUGCUAUAAACUAGGAUGUCAUCGAAGAAAACAAGGACAAAUUGGAGUAGAAAUGGCUUAAAAAUGGAAUUCAUGGUUGAUUGAAAAGUAGAUGGAGCAUUCGAAAGACCAAAUGGCAUCACAGUAAAUUCAUAAUGGCCUUCAUGAGUUCGAAAUGCGGUCUUUUUGAUAUCUGGGGGAUGGAGGCGAAUUUGAUGGUAUCCGGCUAAUAAGUCCAACUUAGAGAAUACACAAGCAUUGUGCAAUUCAUCAAAAAGCUCAUCGACGGUUGGGAUUGGAAAUCUAUCCUUAACAGUGAUAGCAUUAAGAGCCCUGUAAUCCACACAAAAGCGCCAAGUACCAUCCUUCUUACGCACUAACAACACUGGUGAAGAAUAUGGACUCGAGCUGGGACGAAUAACUCCCGACUUGAGCAUCUCAGAAACAAGCUUUUCAAUUUCAGCUUUUUGGAAGUGGGGGUAACGAUAUGGCCGGACAUUUACAGGAUUAGCUCCUGGCAAGAGGGGAAUGCGAUGAUCUUGUGGUCGUUGAGGUGGUAAAGAGGACGGGUGAUGAAAAAUCUCUGGAAAAGAAUUUAGAAGAGUGGCUAAGUCAGGGGGGUGAUGGCAUGGUGAUAUGAGGGUAGAAGAUUGAAGAUCUAGACGGAGAAAAUAUGAAAUAGAAUCUGUCUUAGUGAAGCGCCUGAGAGUGGACAUAUUAAUUUGGGCAGGAGAGGGGGCAGGAUCACCUUGCCAUCGGUGAUGUUUCCCGUCCAGUGUAAACUCAAAAGUACGAUUGACAUAGUCCGUCAAACAUGGACCUAAUGUGGCCAACCAAGUAACUCCAAGGACCAAAUCCGAACCAUGCAUGUCAAUAAUAAAGAAGUCUGUGACAAAGGAGAAGCCCUGAAUGGUGAGUGCUACACCACGAACGACACCUAAACAUCGCUUGGCCAUUUUCGACCAUAACUAUGGGGGUGGAGACAAGUCAUAAGGAGAGUCCUCUGUAGUAUCAUCAUCGGCAAGAAGUAAAAAGAGUUGAGGGAUGGAUGAACAUUUAUGACCCUUGUGAUAUUUUUCAUCACAAUUGAAACAAAGGUUAAGUUCACGUUUUCGUUGAAGCUCUGUCGGUGUUAGCUUCCUGAAUGAUGUACGACCAACACCUGGAAUAGAUGCAGUCGGGGCUGAGGAGCUUGAAGAAAGGGUCGGAUUUUUAGGGCUAGGAGAGGUGUGGAAAGAAAAUGGGCUGGCAGGAAUUUUUGACGGAUAGUUGGGCCGGGUCAUCGUCCCAGCUUGGGCCAACUUUUUUUGCUCUUGCAAAAAGGCCAGACUAAUUGCUUCAUUGAGGUCCGCGGGUCGAAAAGCCAGAACAUCUGAUUUAAUAUCAGGGUGAAGUCCAGAGGUAAAAAAAUGCUUCAUUAAAGGCGGCGAUACAUCAGAGGUACGAUUGGCCAGUUUCUCAAAUUGAGAAAGAUAGUCACGAACGGAGGUUUGCAUCUGUAGUUUUGCCAACAAGCUUUCUGGUGCCUCCAUUGAUUUAGACCCAAAACGAGUAGCAAGAGCCCUAAGGAAGUGGUCCCAUCCACAGAGUUGGCGAUUUCGGUAUAUCCACUGAUACCAAUCUCGUGCAUCUCCCUCUAGAAAGAAAGAGCAUACAUUCAAGCGUUGCUCAUCUGGAACAGUGUAAGUGUCAAAAUACUGAUGAGCUUGGAAAGCCCAACUCUCUGCGUUGGUUCCAUCAAACUUAGCCAAGUCAAUCGGUGCCGGUUUAUCACGUCGAAAUGGAUUAAGGCCAUGGGGUGGAACUGGAAGCACCUGGUGUACUGGGGGUUGCCGAUUCAGUGUGGGUGGUGGGGGAGUAUGCUGAUAAAAAGUUUGUGGAAGUGGCACAGAUGAUUGACCCAAAACUGAAGAAGGGCUACCAGCGACUAGAGAUGGCGCUGGCGACGAAGGACGCAACGAAGCCAGUUGAGUUACAAUAUCUUGUAAGGCAGUGUUGAUGGACUCCACGGCUUUAGCAUGGCCAACAGAUUGUUCUUGAAGUUGUUUCACAGCCUCAUCAAGAGAUUUGAGGCGAGUAUUGUGUGCACCAUCACCCAUGGUAGAAGGAGGGACAAUGAAAGCACCAAAUGUAACAAGAGGAACUUUGUAUUAAAGAUGAACUAGUUGCAGGUCACAAGAGGGACCUGUUCCUCUUCUUCUGGGAAUAACAAGAAGCAAAACAAAGGAAAAAGGAAGAAAAGGGAGGUUCCAGAUCUAUUCUAAGCAACUAAAAGAAAAGCAAGUUCAUCCAUGCCUUCUUUAGUGAAAUCUGCCACUACUUAUACUACUCUAGUAGCUAUUACUCAUGCUCUUUUGCUAUCAGAGUGUGUUUCCCUUUUGCAUCUGGGACCACGUAGUGGUCCAGGUAUUGUGGCACUCGUUUGUACCUGGUACUACGCCUGUUGUUGU
rnacentral:lncRNA from 1 species